UACAGAGGGUGCGAGCGUUAAUCGGAAUUACUGGGCGUAAAGCGUGCGUAGACGGUUAUUUAAGUCGGGUGUGAAAGCCCCGGGCUCAACCUGGGAAUUGCAUUCGAGACUGAAUAGCUAGGGUACGGUAGAGGGAAGUGGAAUUCCCGGUGUAGCGGUGAAAUGCGCAGAUAUCGGGAGGAACACCGGUGGCGAAGGCGGUUCUCUGGGCCUUACCUGACGCUGAGGCGCGAAAGCGUGGGGAGCAAACAGG
rnacentral:rRNA from 1 species